rnacentral:tRNA from 1 species
GUGUAGCUUAGUGUUAAAGUGCUUGCCUAGCAUGCAUGAAGCCCUGGGUUCGAUUCCUUGGUGCCACA